rnacentral:lncRNA from 1 species
AUUCUUCUGUGUUGUACUUAAAUGUAACCAGUCAGAUGAAAAGCAGUUGAUUUUAUUUUCUUCCCAAUUCUUCAAAAAGCAACGUGAAAAGGUAGAAUUCAUCCCACUUCAAAUAUAUGAGAGAAAAAAUUCUUCUACUUUUUGCUUUUCUUUUCUUCUUUUAUUUUUCAUCUCAUUUCUUCCACUUUUUACCAGUCACACC